UUUCACCUGGAAUCAAAAAUAAGAGCAAAAACAAAGGCAUGCCAUUAGUUGGAUUUGACAAAUGAAAAAAUUGGAAAAUUUGUUAAAAAGACAAAUUCAUAUAUAUUAUUCGACUGAAGUGCAUGUCAUCUAAGAGCUUCUUGUCUUGCGAGUGUGUACAACUAUGCGGCUGCCGCAUUUAUUCACAAAUUAACAUUUUCAUCGAAUUUUCAUGUUAGUUUGCGGCAACAGGAGAACAACAACACGACGACAAUGCCGACAACAAAACGGCAGCUGGAGCAUAUGGAAACAACCUAAUUGAGAGUCUAUCGGAAACCCCAUUUAUAUUGCGACUCGUGCCCGGAUAUCCAUUGCUUGACUGCCUUGGGCUACUUUGACGACUCAUCUGCCAUGGAUAUCUAAUCCUUAAUAUCUAAUAAUAGCUUUAGUAGUGUAAUAGGUAUAUUCAAUAUAUGAUAUGAUAGUCUUCCCAAUCUUUGGAUUUAAUUUAAUCAUUUUUAAAAUAUGAAGAA